rnacentral:rRNA from 1 species
GGACAAUGGGCGCAAGCCUGAUCCAGCCAUACCGCGUGGGUGAAGAAGGCCUUCGGGUUGUAAAGCCCUUUUGUUGGGAAAGAAAUCCAGCUGGCUAAUACCCGGUUGGGAUGACGGUACCCAAAGAAUAAGCACCGGCUAACUUCGUGCCAGCAGCCGCGGUAAUACGAAGGGUGCAAGCGUUACUCGGAAUUACUGGGCGUAAAGCGUGCGUAGGUGGUCGUUUAAGUCCGUUGUGAAAGCCCUGGGCUCAACCUGGGAACUGCAGUGGAUACUGGGCGACUAGAGUGUGGUAGAGGGUAGCGGAAUUCCUGGUGUAGCAGUGAAAUGCGUAGAGAUCAGGAGGAACAUCCAUGGCGAAGGCAGCUACCUGGACCAACACUGACACUGAGGCACGAAAGCGUGGGGAGCAAACAGGAUUAGAUACCCUGGUAGUCCACGCCCUAAACGAUGCGAACUGGAUGUUGGGUGCAAUUUGGCACGCAGUAUCGAAGCUAACGCGUUAAGUUCGCCGCCUGGGGAGUACGGUCGC